rnacentral:rRNA from 1 species
AUUGAACGCUGGCGGCAUGCCUAACACAUGCAAGUCGAACGAAGCCUUCGGGCUUAGUGGCGCACGGGUGCGUAACGCGUGGGAAUCUGCCCUUAGGUACGGAAUAACUCAUGGAAACGUGUGCUAAUACCGUAUGAUGUCUUCGGACCAAAGAUUUAUCGCCUAGGGAUGAGCCCGCGUUGGAUUAGCUAGUUGGUGAGGUAAAGGCUCACCAAGGCGACGAUCCAUAGCUGGUCUGAGAGGAUGAUCAGCCACACUGGGACUGAGACACGGCCCAGACUCCUACGGGAGGCAGCAGUGGGGAAUAUUGGACAAUGGGCGAAAGCCUGAUCCAGCAAUGCCGCGUGAGUGAAGAAGGCCUUCGGGUUGUAAAGCUCUUUUACCCGGGAAGAUAAUGACUGUACCGGGAGAAUAAGCCCCGGCUAACUCCGUG